rnacentral:tRNA from 4 species
GGCGGCAUGGCCAAGCGGUAAGGCAAGGGUCUGCAAAAUCCUCAUCCCCCAGUUCGAAUCUGGGUGCCGCCU